GCCCUGGUAGUGUAAUGGUUAAGCCCUUGGCUGCUAACCAAAAGGUUGGUGGUUCAAACCCACUCAGUGGCU
rnacentral:tRNA from 1 species